ensembl:lncRNA
CUCGGAGCAGAAAAGCCAGAAGUGAACAUAACCCAACAAGCAAGAGAAAAGGAUAGAGCCUACAAGAGAAGUUUUUCCAGAGUAUGGUUCAGGCUUGGCUAACUAGCUGAGGGUAUGCCAAUGCAAUUUUUUGCUUUCCUUGUAUACUUUUUAAAACAAGUGCGUGUGAUAGUUCAUGGACACAGACAGGGUUGACAGACCUGAAACAUCUGUCAGAACGGAUAAAAAAAACUCAAGCGAGCAUGAGUGCAUAUGAACAACUGUGUGAAGCUAGCCAUACUAGAGAUCUUCUCACUCCAGCGGCGCUGUUCCUCCACGCCGCCUUCCUGGUUCCUUCACCGACCCAGCUGGCCUCCCAUACAAGUCAGGGGCAGCCCAUGGGAAU